rnacentral:rRNA from 1 species
GACGAACGCUGGCGGCGUGCUUAACACAUGCCAGUCGAACGGAAAGGCCCUGCUUUUGUGGGGUGCUCGAGUGGCGAACGGGUGAGUAACACGUGAGUAACCUGCCCUUGACUUUGGGAUAACUUCAGGAAACUGGGGCUAAUACCGGAUAGGAGCUCCUGCUGCAUGGUGGGGGUUGGAAAGUUUCGGCGGUUGGGGAUGGACUCGCGGCUUAUCAGCUUGUUGGUGGGGUAGUGGAUUACCAAGGCUUUGACGGGUAGCCGGCCUGAGAGGGUGACCGGCCAAAUGGGGACUGAGUGACGGCCCAGACUCCUACGGGAGGCAGCAGUGGGGAAUAUUGCACAAUGGGCGGAAGCCUGAUGCAGCAACGCCGCGUGCGGGAUGACGGCCUUCGGGUGGUAAACAGCUUUCGCCUGUGACGAAGCGUGAGUGACGGUAAUGGGGAAAGAAGCACCGGCUAACUACGU